GUGUGUGUGUGUAUACACAUACAUAUAUAGAGAUAGAAAAAAUCUAUUUUCAAUAUGAGUAAAAUAAUUAAAACUAAUCCAUUAAUUUUUUUAUGUGGUGGGCACUGUUUGCCAGCCUAUGGAUGUGUGGCAACAACAUGCCCCCCCCACUGCCUGCUGCCCAGAAGGCCACCCAGAAGCCCACCACUAAUACUAGCAUCAGUGGUCUUUUGCCCACAUCAGAAAUUGCCGUAUGAAAUGCAUCUGUCCACAUGUGCCUGCUAUGCCUAUUACAAUACAUUUGAAUAUGACUUUGUCUUCUUGGUUUGGUAUUACUGGAUGUUCACCACAUUCCCAGGAGGAUGAAUCUGGAACUAAACAGGCAGCAGAAAAUGUAAAUGACUUAUCUUUGAUACACAGAGAGAUGAAGACUGGCAUUUCUUAAGCAGAUUUAUUUUGGGUGGAUUUUCUCAGGGAGGAACUUCUUCCUUAUACAGUGCCCUUACCACACAGCAGAAACUGGCCAGUGUCACUGCUCUCUCAGUUUCUACUUCAGGCUUUGUUUCUCCAGGGUCCCUAUCCAUAGCUCUUAUAGAGAUAUUUCUAUUCUCUAGGGCCUGGGAGAUGCGACCCUUUUGUUUCCCCUUGCUGUGAAAAACGAAAAGCAUUGAUGAAUCUAUCCAAUUAAUUUUUAAAAGCUAUGUAGACAUUAUGCACAGUUCAUGUCAGCAGCAAUUCAUUGAUAAACUUCUGUCUCCAACUGAUUGACAUCACUAAAAGGCCUUGCGUAGACAUGCACCAUCAACACUGUAGUAGAGUAUAAACCCCUUUCCAUUCCCGAUACUAAAACUCUUAAUGUUUACAGUGUAAAAUAUUUUACAAGUACAUACCAAUGAUACAGACUAAAUGAUUGAAGACAUAAGAUCCUUUUAAGUUUCUGUACAUAUAUCUGUGUUAUACAAUCCAGAGUAUACUAGUAUUCAAGCAGAUGAACAAAAUAAAACACCAUAGCAAGAGUUUUAUUACAUUAUUAAAAAUUACCAUAUGCACACUGAAAAUUUGUUCAGGUCUAAACAAGCUGUUAUAAUAUGAAUGACUUGUUAAUGCUCUGAGUUAGACAAUGGUUUUAUUCCACAGUUGUUUAGUUGUCAUUCAGUGUCUGUGUUUUUAUAUGUGAUUAUAUACAUAUGUGACUACUUAAGAAUUAUAUGGUAUUACAUUAUUCCUGACACUAGGGAUAAUGCUUUUAACUGGCAAAAAUUAAUACUGCUCUCUUCAAUUACUGACCCUUUUAUUGGAGGACCAGACUUUUCUUUUUCUUCUAUUGAAUUAUUCUACUCUCAAAAAAGGAAAAAAAAAUAGGUUCUUUCUUUCUUGAUUUUCCAAAGAAGACUAAUGUUGCCUCUUUGCCAUAAUAAAAACUUGUCAAUAUAUACUUACAUUCUUGAAUCUCAGAUAUAGGGUAUUUCAAAUUUAGGUAAUGUGAAAAGAAACCAAACAUUACUUAAGCUUAUGUAUUUCAAAUAACUGUAUCUUAUUCCACCUUUGGACUGUAGAUUUAUCAGAAUUUUCAGUCCUGGUAAUAAUUCUGUGGUUUUUAUUUCUCUGUAAAAAACUGAAAAGAGUAAACAAUAUCUUGGUAUGUUCAGAAAUAAAGACUUAAGACCAGUCUUGAAGUCUAAUGUCUAAAACAGCUAUAUCUUAUAGCAGAAUUUAAAUUUACAUUCUCUGUACAUAUGUUAUGUGUGAAACCAAACACUGUUCAAGAUGAGCAAUUAGACAUUUUUAUUUUAUCUGGUGGCAAACUAAUUUGAAAUUUUCAUCUUAAAGGAGUUUUUGAGAACUAGCCUCCUGUGCAAAAAUUAAAAUAACAAUCACUUGAUUUUAAAUCAUCAACAUGUCCAGAAUAUUGGUGAAAAUAUUUAAAUUAAUAUGGAUUAUAAGGACUAUUAGAAUCACAUGAAUAUAUAUGUGUGUAUAGUCACCACACAGUUGAAUAUGUUGCACAAUUAUGGUUAUUUCUGAAUUGUAGCUUUUCUUGCUAUUUUACAACUGACCAAGACCAUGCUAAGAAACAUCUUUACUAAUGAGUGCUAACUGACAUGGAGAUGAUUUGGUAUGGACUAGAUAGGAUGUUGAUAAUGAAGCUGUAUGCUUAUGUCCAGAUUUCAAACAAUUAUUUGCUAUUUUGCUUUACUUUGAAGAACAUAAACUUACUUUAGUUAUAUCAUACUAAAGCUUUACUUGGGGGUAAGCAUGUUCCAUUGAAUUCUAGUGUUAUAAUGUUGGAGAAUAUUGUUUUAACAGAUUCUAUCCAUGUGAAAUAAAAUUCAAUUCUGAAGAAA